rnacentral:lncRNA from 1 species
AAAAUAUUCAGGGAUAAAACUUUUUCUAAGGCACUUGUUUUCCUAAGAAUACUCAGAUUAAGGUUAUUUAGUUUUGUUUAACCCAGUGUUUCCUAGCAAUCUUUACUAUAGGACUUCUUGGUAUCUUUAAUAUGCUAGUAUGCAUUGUGGAUUUCCAGGAAGAAAGAUAUUCUAUGGCUUAUUUGUGUCCCAAAUUAGGACUAUGGGAUAAGUCCCCCACCCACAGGAUUGUUCAGUUAGCUUCUGAGGGUGGCCAUGAAACAGCCAUUUGGGAAUCUUAUAGCUUAUAGUUGUUACCUAUUUCCAAUUUAGUUUGGUAGUGGCUUACUGAAAUUGGUUAUUUUCAUUGUAUCUCAAUCUAAUUUAGAGUAUAUUCCUCUUUAUUGUUUUAGUAAUUAGUUUCCCCAAAUCCCUGACUACACAGUAUUCUACCAUGUUCAAGAACAACUGCCCUUGCCAAGCAGAGUGAUUCAUGCCAGUAAUCCCAGCAACUCUGGAGGCUGAGGAGGGAGGAUCACAAGGUCAAUUCAGCAAUUUAGCAAGGCCCUAAGCAAUUUAGCAGGAUCCCAUUUCAAAAUUAAAAAUAAAAAGGGCUGGGAAUAUGACUCAGUGGUAAUGUACCCCUGAGUUCAAUCUCCAGUACCAACAACUGCCUAGGAUUUUAGGCUAAGCAAAGGAGCAAAUACUAUGGACAUUUGUUGUUGCUUCAAAACUACCUUCCUUGUCAAAGGUAAGACUUCCAAAAAAGAGGGCUGAGAUUGUGGUUCAGUGGUAGAGCGCUCACCUAGCACGUGUGGGGUGCUGGGUUCGAUCCUCAGCACCACAUAAAAAUACAUAAAUAAAAUAAAGGUAUUGUGUCCAACUAUAACUAAAAAAGAAUA